UUCCAAAGUGUUCAGUUCAGGGUAGCUUCCCUGUUCUGUUCGUUAUAUUUGGGCACAUUGAAACACAGGCUGGGGGAGAUGAUUGGAUAGAAAGCAUUGCUCUAUUCAUUUAUCCCAGCCUACAAAA